rnacentral:rRNA from 1 species
UCCCUUAGGUGUUCUGGGCCGCACGCGCGCUACACUGACGAUGGCAACGAGUUUUUCCUUCGCCGAAAGGUGUGGGUAAUCUUUUGAAACAUCGUCGUGCUGGGGAUAGAUCAUUGCAAUUUUUGAUCUUGAACGAGGAAUUCCUAGUAAGCGCGAGUCAUCAGCUCGCGUUGAUUACGUCCCUGCCCUUUGUACACACCGCCCGUCGCUCCUACCGAUUGAGUGGUCCGGUGAGGCUUUGGGAUCUGAGCGGAAAGAGCGUUUCGCUGUUUCUGCUCGGAAAACUCAGUCGAACCUUAUCAUUUAGAGGAAGGAGAAGUCGUAACA